CGAAAUCAAAGCUCCUUUGAGGUGUCCCCUCACAUCUUGAAGAUGUUACAACCACUACUUGAAGAGAAAACAAGAAAAGCAGCCUUGGCCAGCAGAAACGAUUUAGUGGUGAAGGAAACAGCAGAGCCCACCAGACUGGACAGCCCAUCUAGAAGCCACAUACCC